GUUUGUGCUCGUCCGGCGAUGAAAGCAGGUUAACUCUAAAGGUUCGACAAAUGUGUGGUUUUGCAUGUUCCUGACUUUUGUAGAGGUAAAGUCUUACAGCAACUGGAGAUUGUUGCACCAUCAGCAGUCUCAGAUGAUGUAGCUUUUUUGAAGUGUGUGCUGGCCACACCUAGUACCUGUGACCAAGAAAAUCAUCAGACAGUGGGCACAAGCUGGCAGCAUCCACAGCCAUGGGAACAGUGUGUAGGCUGAGAUUGGGUCAGGGGAGGGCCUGUUCAUCAGUCAUCUCCCCUUCCUGGGGGCUGUCUCUUUUUCUCCUUGGCAAAAGUGACAGGAUGAACAAAAAUGUCCUGCUCAUGAGGCAGUGUUGGCUGAGGAAGAGAACCUGUG